UGGGGAAUCUUGCACAAUGGGCGAAAGCCUGAUGCAGCGACGCCGCGUGCGGGAUGACGGCCUUCGGGUUGUAAACCGCUUUCAGCAGGGACGAUUAUGACGGUACCUGCAGAAGAAGCCCCGGCCAACUACGUGCCAGCAGCCGCGGUAAUACGUAGGGGGCAAGCGUUGUCCGGAUUUAUUGGGCGUAAAGAGCUCGUAGGCGGUUUGGUAAGUCUGGUGUGAAAUCUCCACGCUCAACGUGGAGGGGCCACCCGAUACUGCCAUGACUGGAGCCCGGUAGAGGAGUGUGGAAUUCCCGGUGUAGCGGUGAAAUGCGCAGAUAUCGGGAGGAACACCCGUAGCGAAGGCGGCACUCUGGGCCGGAACUGACGCUGAGGAGCGAAAGCGUGGGGAGCAAACAG
rnacentral:rRNA from 1 species